CGGUAGCUCAGUAGGUAGAGCAGUGGACUGAAAAUCCGCGUGUCGAUGGUUCAAGUCCGUCCCGA
rnacentral:tRNA from 1 species